GAUGCUGCUGGCGCGCCCGGUCCAGCGUUGGGGCUGUCACCGGCAGCUGCAUAGGCAAGCCAGGCCGGCACAGCGACCAAUGCAGCAAGGAAGUGCAUCAGUACCGGCAAGUCCUUGCUACCGUACCUGCCCACACCUGAAGCCGUGGCUGGCGGGAGCCACGGCUCGCCCUCCUCCACCCCUAUGCCCCACCACAGACCCGGACCACAUGGCCCCAAGCCCAUUGCCUCCACGUACCCGGCCGUACCCCGUACCCGGCCGAGUCCUGCGGGUAUUGAGUUGGGCCCGGAGGCACGCUGCUGCUGCCGCUCAUGCUCUUAAGAAUUGUAAUACCUGAAUCGGUGCUUGAAUCGUUGAUGCGGGCCACGCGGCUUUUGGUAAGCCUGGACAACAGGUGACUCCCCGGGUACACGGUCCAAGACGUCAAGCCCGAGGCAUAUCUCACUAUAUCCAAGAUUUUAUGGAGCAAGCUUCCGCCUACAUACUUGUUUUGUGCUUGAAGCCCAAGGCAGUCAAAAAUCAGUCGCGCGAAGGCAUCUGGAAGUGCUCGACUUGCAAGUACUCGAAAAUGUCGUUGUAGCCGGGGUAGCCGUUGUUAGUCGGAAAAAUCAGCCUAUGUGAAAUUCUCAGUUGGAGCUCAUCAUAAACCAUUCAUAAUAUCACUGAGCUACGCUGGGGCUGACUCUAGGAA
rnacentral:lncRNA from 1 species